GGUUAAGCGACUAAGCGUACACGGUGGAUGCCCUGGCAGUCAGAGGCGAUGAAGGACGUGCUAAUCUGCGAUAAGCGUCGGUAAGGUGAUAUGAACCGUUAUAACCGGCGAUUUCCGAAUGGGGAAACCCAGUGUGUUUCGACACACUAUCAUUAACUGAAUCCAUAGGUUAAUGAGGCGAACCGGGGGAACUGAAACAUCUAAGUACCCCGAGGAAAAGAAAUCAACCGAGAUUCCCCCAGUAGCGGCGAGCGAACGGGGAGCAGCCCAGAGCCUGAAUCAGUGUGUGUGUUAGUGGAAGCGUCUGGAAAGGCGCGCGAUACAGGGUGACAGCCCCGUACACAAAAAUGCACAUGCUGUGAGCUCGAUGAGUAGGGCGGGACACGUGGUAUCCUGUCUGAAUAUGGGGGGACCAUCCUCCAAGGCUAAAUACUCCUGACUGACCGAUAGUGAACCAGUACCGUGAGGGAAAGGCGAAAAGAACCCCGGCGAGGGGAGUGAAAAAGAACCUGAAACCGUGUACGUACAAGCAGUGGGAGCACGCUUAGGCGUGUGACUGCGUACCUUUUGUAUAAUGGGUCAGCGACUUAUAUUCUGUAGCAAGGUUAACCGAAUAGGGGAGCCGAAGGGAAACCGAGUCUUAACUGGGCGUUAAGUUGCAGGGUAUAGACCCGAAACCCGGUGAUCUAGCCAUGGGCAGGUUGAAGGUUGGGUAACACUAACUGGAGGACCGAACCGACUAAUGUUGAAAAAUUAGCGGAUGACUUGUGGCUGGGGGUGAAAGGCCAAUCAAACCGGGAGAUAGCUGGUUCUCCCCGAAAGCUAUUUAGGUAGCGCCUCGUGAAUUCAUCUCCGGGGGUAGAGCACUGUUUCGGCAAGGGGGUCAUCCCGACUUACCAACCCGAUGCAAACUGCGAAUACCGGAGAAUGUUAUCACGGGAGACACACGGCGGGUGCUAACGUCCGUCGUGAAGAGGGAAACAACCCAGACCGCCAGCUAAGGUCCCAAAGUCAUGGUUAAGUGGGAAACGAUGUGGGAAGGCCCAGACAGCCAGGAUGUUGGCUUAGAAGCAGCCAUCAUUUAAAGAAAGCGUAAUAGCUCACUGGUCGAGUCGGCCUGCGCGGAAGAUGUAACGGGGCUAAACCAUGCACCGAAGCUGCGGCAGCGACGCUGAUGCGUUGUUGGGUAGGGGAGCGUUCUGUAAGCCUGCGAAGGUGUGCUGUGAGGCAUGCUGGAGGUAUCAGAAGUGCGAAUGCUGACAUAAGUAACGAUAAAGCGGGUGAAAAGCCCGCUCGCCGGAAGACCAAGGGUUCCUGUCCAACGUUAAUCGGGGCAGGGUGAGUCGACCCCUAAGGCGAGGCCGAAAGGCGUAGUCGAUGGGAAACAGGUUAAUAUUCCUGUACUUGGUGUUACUGCGAAGGGGGGACGGAGAAGGCUAUGUUGGCCGGGCGACGGUUGUCCCGGUUUAAGCGUGUAGGCUGGUUUUCCAGGCAAAUCCGGAAAAUCAAGGCUGAGGCGUGAUGACGAGGCACUACGGUGCUGAAGCAACAAAUGCCCUGCUUCCAGGAAAAGCCUCUAAGCAUCAGGUAACAUCAAAUCGUACCCCAAACCGACACAGGUGGUCAGGUAGAGAAUACCAAGGCGCUUGAGAGAACUCGGGUGAAGGAACUAGGCAAAAUGGUGCCGUAACUUCGGGAGAAGGCACGCUGAUAUGUAGGUGAAGUCCCUUGCGGAUGGAGCUGAAAUCAGUCGAAGAUACCAGCUGGCUGCAACUGUUUAUUAAAAACACAGCACUGUGCAAACACGAAAGUGGACGUAUACGGUGUGACGCCUGCCCGGUGCCGGAAGGUUAAUUGAUGGGGUCAGCGCAAGCGAAGCUCUUGAUCGAAGCCCCGGUAAACGGCGGCCGUAACUAUAACGGUCCUAAGGUAGCGAAAUUCCUUGUCGGGUAAGUUCCGACCUGCACGAAUGGCGUAAUGAUGGCCAGGCUGUCUCCACCCGAGACUCAGUGAAAUUGAACUCGCUGUGAAGAUGCAGUGUACCCGCGGCAAGACGGAAAGACCCCGUGAACCUUUACUAUAGCUUGACACUGAACAUUGAGCCUUGAUGUGUAGGAUAGGUGGGAGGCUUGGAAGUGUGGACGCCAGUCUGCAUGGAGCCGACCUUGAAAUACCACCCUUUAAUGUUUGAUGUUCUAACGUUGACCCGUAAUCCGGGUUGCGGACAGUGUCUGGUGGGUAGUUUGACUGGGGCGGUCUCCUCCUAAAGAGUAACGGAGGAGCACGAAGGUUGGCUAAUCCUGGUCGGACAUCAGGAGGUUAGUGCAAUGGCAUAAGCCAGCUUGACUGCGAGCGUGACGGCGCGAGCAGGUGCGAAAGCAGGUCAUAGUGAUCCGGUGGUUCUGAAUGGAAGGGCCAUCGCUCAACGGAUAAAAGGUACUCCGGGGAUAACAGGCUGAUACCGCCCAAGAGUUCAUAUCGACGGCGGUGUUUGGCACCUCGAUGUCGGCUCAUCACAUCCUGGGGCUGAAGUAGGUCCCAAGGGUAUGGCUGUUCGCCAUUUAAAGUGGUACGCGAGCUGGGUUUAGAACGUCGUGAGACAGUUCGGUCCCUAUCUGCCGUGGGCGCUGGAGAACUGAGGGGGGCUGCUCCUAGUACGAGAGGACCGGAGUGGACGCAUCACUGGUGUUCGGGUAGUCAUGCCAAUGGCACUGCCCGGUAGCUAAAUGCGGAAGAGAUAAGUGCUGAAAGCAUCUAAGCACGAAACUUGCCCCGAGAUGAGUUCUCCCUGACCCUUUAAGGGUCCUGAAGGAACGUUGAAGACGACGACGUUGAUAGGCCGGGUGUGUAAGCGCAGCGAUGCGUUGAGCUAACCGGUACUAAUGAACCGUGAGGCUUAACCUU
rnacentral:rRNA from 1 species